GCUGUGAGAUUAUGGCAGGGAGCAGUGGGUGUGGCUUCUGGAGUGGGCGUGUUCCUGAUGGGAUUGACAGCUGUCUAUCUCUGGAGGAGGACCAAGAAGAACAAUUCUCAGAGACCUACAGCCAGACAGGAUGAUCACAGACAAUGUGAUUUGGUGAUGGGAGCUGUGAGCUGUGCAGGCAUGUUGGCCUUAAAGGAUUCUGGGAUCUAUUCUCUCAUCACCACUGUACCGUCCACGUUACUGC